GUUAUGUGAGCUGGACAUACGAAACUGCUCCGAGGAUAUGAUAGCCCCAUUCAACUCCCAGUACCAGAGGAGAAACGUUGGAAUGGGCGCUUAAACUCCAGAUCCGUCCACAGAGACACAGAGUCUAUCGAAAUAACCCAGUUAACCCCAAGGAGAUACAGUGCUACACUGGCUUUGCAGACUAAUAGAAUAUGGUGUACAUGUUAAUGCAUUUUAAGUAAUAAAUGAAUUGAGAUUUG